rnacentral:snRNA from 1 species
GGAUAUGAGGGUAAUCUGGCUGCGACAUCUGUCAUCCCAUUGAUUACCAGGGUUAAUCCCCCUGAUCUGGCUGGCUAGGGGGAUAUCUCCUUCCUCCCUCACUGGUCCAUGUGCAUCCCACCAGAAGUUGCAUGUUCUGUUGAGGAGGAAUGAUGACCUUCCCUGAAUAGAGGAGGACCCCCGGUCAAG